UGACACAUACAAAAGGCUGUCUCGAUCUGCUUUUGCAAAGUGUUCUGCUCUAUGGAACAAAACCAGUAGGUCAACCAUGGCCUUUGAAAUAGUGGAACGUGAAUGGAAGCUGCAGUUCCUCCAACCAACUCAAACACGUUGGAGCUCCCUGUUCCUGGCUGUGGAGAGAGUUGUACGCAUUCAGAAAGAGCAAGGAGAGGCAGCAAUUCAGAAUGUCUGCACAGCACUGAAGAUAAAGAUGUUUAAUCCUGCUGAAUUUGGAUUUUUGGCUGAGUACACUGCUGUCAUGAAACCUGUUGCCAUGGCCCUCAACAUCCUUCAAGGGGAAACGUCUGUGCACAUGGGAUUUUUGCUGCCAACACUUUACCAGUUGCAGGAGAAGCUAAUAAGGCUGGAGUUAUCCUGCAAAGUCUGAAGAUCUCUAGUAGAUGCCCUGCUCAAUGGGAUUCAGAAACGUUUUGGAGGCGCCAUGGAGGACCCUGAGCUGAUUGCAGCAGCAAUACUCUUACCUCUUAUACUCUUAAGAUUUCGAACAUUGUGGACAACAAAGGAGUGCAUCUUAAAAGCUGGACUUGACUUCAUUAGAAAUCACCUAGACACAGACUCCGAUGAUGGCAGCACAAACAGCAGUCCCUCUGAUGAAGAUGACUUCUUUGCAUCCAUGAAAUCAGGAAAACCACAAGCAGGAGAGCUGGAGAGGUACCUUUCAUGUCCAUCCUCUGAAGGUAUGGAUCUACUGCACACCUUUCCUCACAUCAAGAAGCUCUCACUGAAACUCAACACUGGUCUUCCUGCAUCUGCAGCCUGCGAGAGACUUUUCAGUCAUGCAGGACUUAGGUUUACUGCUAAACGAUCACAGCUUCACAGCAAGAAUC